UCUAAAAGAGCUGACUCGAAGGAAACUGAGAGAACAGAGAAACAAACACAGGAGAAACCUUAGACCUAAGUUUAAAAGGUGGAAAACCCUAGAACGGAGACGAAUCACUCAAUGGACCGAUUAAUCGGUGUGAAUCGAAGAUUAAUCGGUAGAAAGGUGUUUAAUCGGUAGGAAAGGAAAAACAAUUAGUGAAAUCUAAGGACAAAGUGAAAAAUGACGAAGAAAAAUGGUAGAGAAGGCUUUAAUCGGUGAAGAUAUGAGGAAAUGAUGGAAAGAGAUCUAAACCCUAGAAUAAGAGUGAACGAGGAGGAUGAAUCUGUGAAGAGAUGAGGGUUACCUCAAGAAGCUAGAGACGCGAAUGAAGGGUCUCUGAAGCGCAAGAGAGAAAAUGAAGCAAAUGAGGCUGUGAAUGAAGCUUCACAAGUUAAGAAGUAGCUCUGCUAAUGCGUGGUACAAAGCUAAAGCAGAGUGGUGGAAAAACGACGUCGUGGAGGAGAGAAAAUGGAAGCACGGUGAAAUUCAAGGAAAAUGAAAAUGGAGGCAGUGUGCUAGGAAGGUGGCUAGAUGCGUUUCCUAGGACUCUCUAGCAUGUGACUUUCAAGAGAGAAUUAAUUAUGGGUUUCAAAAAUCUAAUUUUCAUUAAUCUCAAAAGUGAAAAUACAAGAGAGGAACUGUGUAUUUAUAGUAACCCGUGCUGCUUGAAAGUUAAGCAACGUGUACAAUAAAAUGUAAAAAUACAAAAAAGAGGACUACGUCAGGCAGGAUUCCAUCAAAGAUAUUCCUAAAUUAAUUGGAAGAUGAUAUUUUUCAUUAUAUAGUGUGCAUGUUUGAGAACGAAGAAGAUCUUUUAUAAAAAAAGAUAAUGAUACUUUGACAAUAUUUUUUAG
rnacentral:lncRNA from 1 species